GCCCUGGUGGUCUAGUGGUAUGAUUCUCGCUUUGGGUGCGAGAGGUCCCGCGUUCAAUCCGCGGCCAGGGCC
rnacentral:tRNA from 5 species